GGUUGGAUCAUUAUAAGCUCUCUCGCUCGGUCCCCGAUCUCGGGGCGGAAGACCCCCCUCGCGGGGGUCGACCGCCGCCUGAAAAGGGCCACAAAACCCGGUCUGCUUGCCGCCUGGGGCUUACCCCCCAGGAGGCCGGCGAUCGGAAAAACAAUCGUGAUAAACUAUCGCAUAGUAACCAUAUAAACUUUCACUGGCCUCAGUUUCCUAGGGAAAAAGCAGUGGUCCAGAGGGGGUGUGGGCAGGCAGGUGGUUUGGCUUUCAGCCGAACGCGCUCGCUUGCUUGCCCUGCCCCCUCCGUUGAUAGCUGCGCCAAGGAGUAGUGGUCCAGAGGGGUGCGCAGGUAGGCGAGUGGUUUGGCUUUCAGCCGAACGCGCUCGCUCGCUUACCCGCCCCCCUCCGUCGAUAGCUGCCCCUAAAAGUACCCAGGACCCAAACAUUAUAACCAUCUGCGGCGGAUGUCUAGGCUACCCCUUCGAUGAAGAGCGCAGCUAAGUGCGAUAACUAGUGUGAAUUGCAGAGUUCGCGAAUCAUCGAGUUCUUGAACGCAUUGCGCCUUAGAGCCUCGGCUCUUCGGCAUACUCUAUUCAGCGGCGAGCAACCUAUGCCACUCGUGGCGAUUGGUCUAAGCAGGAGCCCAACCCUGCACUGACCUAAGUUCUGGUUCAUCUGUGUGUGUGUGUGUGUGUGGUGGCUAGUACCCCGCUUAGGCGGGCGAACUCCUCCCCCCCACUCACCGGUGGACUGGGUGUAUAAAUCGAAGGGCAUGCCCAACACUCAAAAGCAAGCCUAGGGAUACCCGGUCUUGGCCUCUUUUGCCGGACAGGUGUCGGUACUCUUGUGUCGAUGAGCGGGCCAGCAGGCUCUCUCGGUCGCACCUCGAAAACUAGCAGCUAUCGGUUCCUUUCUCUGUGGUCUCUGAAGCACUUCCCCCGGGAAGCUGCUGACGGUAAGCGGGAUCGGUUCACGCGGCUUAAACUCGGGGAAUCAUGCGGUCGUGGGGGACGAAUGGCUCAAUCUAGCAAGGGGGUACUUUCACCACGUUCGGAGCGCUCAAUCGAGGCACUUGGUCGUGCACAACCACCACAUCUCUCUCCUCUGUCCCGUCUAGCCGGCGGUCCAGCAGGAGGGAGGGACUCCUUCUUUCUGUCCCGUCAAGCCAGUCUUGGCAGCAGGAAGGGGGAGGUGCGCGUGUGCGGCCACGAGUCCCCCCCCCGGGGGGACAGGGACCGAAUCUCUAGGCGAGCGAACGCUUUAUGCCCUGAAGUAGAGUAAGAAUACCCCGAGGAUUUAAGCAUAUCAUUAUCGGGAGGAAAAGAAACUAACAAGGAUUCCCCUAGUAACUGCGAGUGAAGCGGGAAGAGCUCAAGCCCAAAUCUGGUGGUCUCCGGACCAUCCGACGUGUAGCCUUUGGAACCAGACCUGAUCGGGGAAACUUCUAACUUCUCCUGGAACGGAAGGCCAUAGAGGGUGAUAGCCCCGUUGAGGUCUUUCUCGGUCAUCAGGGUCGAAGUUCUUAGAGUCGCACACCUUGAGAUCGGUGUGCUAAUUGGGAGGUAAACGCCUUCUAAAGCUAAAUAUUGGGGGGUAGACCGAUAGUGCACAAGUAGCGUGAGCGAAAGAUGCAAAGAACUCUGGAGAGAGAGUUAAAAGUACCUGAAACCGCAGUUGGGGAAGCGAUUGGCCGUAGCCACACGCCGCGAUGGGGUUCAAGCCGGGGAGGGUCGAGGCUGGGGUGGAGAUUUGGGCCGACCGGCCCUAUCGAAGCUCUAGCCGAGGCUCCGCUCGGUGGCACUCUCUGUCAGGCGACCAGUGGGGAUUGGCCCGGCUGUAGAAGUGGGGUUCGGGGAAGCACGCCUCGGUGUGCGGAUCCGCUUCCUAUCAUGCAGCCGGCGAUCGGUCCUAGUCUUAAGCUCAGGGGAAAGGCCGCAAGGCGAGCUGUCCGUCGGAAGUCGGGGCGACGGUCGGGGUUACUGCCUAGCAGUGGCUCCGGCUGGCGUUCCGUCGGAAGGCGGCGGCUCACUUUCCCGGGCACUGGCAGUGCGAGGUUAAUUGUCCCGUCUUGAAACACGGACCAAGGAGUGUAUCGCCAUGCCGAGUCUAAGGGUGUCAAAACCCGAAGGCGAAGCGAAAGCGUAAGGAACCUAUCCGGCCCCCGUGGCUGGCCGCAGUUCCGUUCUCUCGUCGGGUUCACCCGUAGAGGGAAAAGGAGGCAUCGCGAUACGACCCGAAAGAAGGCGAACUAUACCUGUGUAGGUUGAAGCCAGGAGAAAUCCUGGUGGAGGAUCGUAGCGAUACUGACGUGCAAAUCGUUCGUCAAACAUGGGCAUAGCGGCGAAAGACUAAUCGAGCCUUCUAGUAGCUGGUUCCCUU
rnacentral:misc_RNA from 1 species